AAAAAACAAGACUUUAAUUUGGAGCCCAGUACACUGUCUCCUUACCACAGAGCAACUUGAGAUAAGGCUUGGUACAGAGUCUGCUGUGCAGGGGGCGGGGUGGCCUGGAGGGGCUGAGGCAGGUUUCUAG
rnacentral:lncRNA from 1 species